rnacentral:rRNA from 1 species
GAUGAACGCUGGCGGCGUGCCUAAUACAUGCCAGUCGAGCGAACGGACGAGAAGCUUGCUUCUCUGAUGUUAGCGGCGGACGGGUGAGUAACACGUGGAUAACCUACCUAUAAGACUGGGAUAACUUCGGGAAACCGGAGCUAAUACCGGAUAAUAUUUUGAACCGCAUGGUUCAAAAGUGAAAGACGGUCUUGCUGUCACUUAUAGAUGGAUCCGCGCUGCAUUAGCUAGUUGGUAAGGUAACGGCUUACCAAGGCAACGAUGCAUAGCCGACCUGAGAGGGUGAUCGGCCACACUAGAACUGAGACACGGUCCAGACUCCUACGGGAGGCAGCAGUAGGGAAUCUUCCGCAAUGGGCGAAAGCCUGACGGAGCAACGCCGCGUGAGUGAUUAAGGUCUUCGGAUCGUAAAACUCUGUUAUUAGGGAAGAACAUAUGUGUAAGUAACUGUGCACAUCUUGACGGUACCUAAUCAGAAAGCCACGGCUAACUACGUG